rnacentral:rRNA from 1 species
CAAUAGCGUAUAUUAAUGCUGCUGCUGUUAAAAAGCUCGUAGUUGGAUCCAGAGCUCAGGUUGCAAGGCGGCUCAGUUUGGUGCUUACGACGUACUGUUGUAUGUCUCAGGUUGGGGUACACCCCUUGCACUAAGACCUGUGCUCUAGAAACGGUGGUAAUGGUACCUGCAAGUAAUCUCUCCGGGGAUGAAAGCACUGACGCGUUAACCACACGCAUAAGGGUCGACCACCGAUGUUACUGUGAACAAACCAGCGUGCCCAAAGCAGGCGAUCGCCGUGAAUGAUAAAGCAUGGAAUAACAAGGGAUCGAUUCUCUCGAUGCUUUUUGUUGGUUCUUAACCCGAGCAGGAAUAAUCAAAACGAGGUUCUUACAUGUUGUCCUUGCGACUUCAUGUCAGUCCUCGUUGCGCGGGAUCAAUAGGGACUGCCGGGGUCGUACGUACUCCAACGUCAGAGGUGAAAUUCUUAGAUCGUUGGAAGACGAACUUCUGCGAAAGCAUUCGACAAGAAUGUCUUCAUUAA